rnacentral:rRNA from 1 species
UACGGGGGGGGCAAGCGUUGUUCGGAAUUACUGGGCGUAAAGGGCGCGUAGGCGGCCCGCUAAGUCGAACGUGAAAUCCCUGGGCUCAACCCAGGAACUGCGUCCGAUACUGGCGGGCUUGAAUCCGGGAGAGGGAUGUGGAAUUCCAGGUGUAGCGGUGAAAUGCGUAGAUAUCUGGAGGAACACCGGUGGCGAAGGCGGCAUCCUGGACCGGUAUUGACGCUGAUGCGCGAAAGCCAGGGGAGCAAACGGG